AGAACAAGGGGCAACUUUGAAUGGAAAGCUAACUCCCAAUGUGAAAUGUCCUGUAUUCCCUGGAUUGACAGGAAGGGAACAAGGGCAAAGAGAGACACUAGAAAUAGUCACCUAGAACUUGGUUAACAAAGCAGAUGGUACUUUUGUAAACUGAAUGGCUGUGGCCCUGCUGCCUCAGGCCAUUGUGUGUUGAUGACAGAUUCACUGUUAAGUCUUCAACAUAGGCAACUGUGCCAAGAGGUACUUGUUCAGAUACUCAGCUGUAAAAAGAUGACAGUGAUAAACAAGAUGAGGUCCUUCUCAUGUGAAAGGUGAAAAUAAGACUUCUGAUUUCUUACGUGUGAGCUGCCUCAGGGGCACCAACAUGGUCCAUAUAUCAUCCACACUAUGAGACUUUCUGAAGCAACAGGAAUCAAGAAUUCUUCCACAUAAAUUGGAGGAAAGCUCCUCUUCUGAGAAGGAAAAUAACUACUGGCUAAAGUCUAAUUAGAAUUCUAAAUUACGGGCUUCAAAAUUCUUAAUCACUAGGAUUCUCUCUGCUUAGUUGAUCUCAUUUUCUGUAACAUUUAAAGUCAAACACUGUGCUCCACAAAAGCAAAUAUAUUCAUUUUAACCCACGCAAAGCUCUGCAGACUCAACCUCAAAUCCUGGUCUCCUAAUUUCACAGCCUAAUGCUGACUCAUUGCUUUCCACAAGUUGACUUUUUUUUUUUUUUUAAUUCAUUCUCACCAUGACGACUUCUCCAACUAUAGAUAGAAUAAUCAUAAGAUUUUCUUAGCCAAAUUGAUGCACUUUUAAGAGUAGGAAAGAUGCCAUUUGUAAUUACACCAGGAAUAGGCAACAUUCACAACCAUCCCUGGCAAACCAAGAUAUAUGGUCCACCCUAACUAUAGCCCUAAUCAUUCUGUAAGCCUCUGAACAUCAUAAACACAUUUAAAUAAAUACAGAUUUAUAC